GACAGAGGGUGCAAACGUUGUUCGGAAUUACUGGGCGUAAAGCGCGUGUAGGCGGCUAGGUACGUCAGGCGUGAAAUCCCACGGCUCAACCGUGGAAGUGCACCUGAUACUGCAUAGCUAGAGUCCUGGAGAGGAAGGUGGAAUGCUUGGUGUAGAGGUGAAAUUCGUAGAUAUCAAGCGGAACACCGGUGGCGAAGGCGGCCUUCUGGACAGUGACUGACGCUGAGACGCGAAAGCGUGGGGAGCAAACAGG
rnacentral:rRNA from 1 species